CAGCAGCCACGGGAAUACGGAGGGAGCUAGCGUUAUUCGGAAUUACUGGGCGUAAAGCGCACGUAGGCGGCUUUGUAAGUAAGAGGUGAAAGCCCGGGGCUCAACCCCGGAAUUGCCUUUUAGACUGCAUCGCUUGAAUCAUGGAGAGGUCAGUGGAAUUCCGAGUGUAGAGGUGAAAUUCGUAGAUAUUCGGAAGAACACCAGUGGCGAAGGCGGCUGACUGGACAUGUAUUGACGCUGAGGUGCGAAAGCGUGGGGAGCAAACAGGAUUAGAUACCCCCGUAGUCCCUGUCUCUUAUAC
rnacentral:rRNA from 1 species